rnacentral:rRNA from 2 species
GUCGGUGUUGAUGACGCUGGGGGUCCACCCGUUCCCAUCCCGAACACGGAAGUUAAGCCCAGUGGUGCCGAAAAUACUUGGCUGGAGACGGCCUGGGAAAAUAGGGAAAUGCCGACA